AGAGUUUGAUCCUGGCUCAGAACGAACGCUGGCGGCGCGCUUAACACAUGCAAGUCGAACGGGGUCAUUAUGAAGUAGCAAUACGGAUUGAUGACUUAGUGGCGGACGGGUGAGUAAUACAUAGGCAACCUGCCCUUAGGAUUGGGAUACUCCCGAGAAAUCGGGCACAAUACCGAAUAUGAUUACGAGGUGAAAUUCCUUGUGAUAAAAGUCCCGAGCAAUCGGGACACCUGAGGAGGGGCCUGUGGCCUAUCAGCUUGUUGGUGAGGUAACGGCUCACCAAGGCUAAGACGGGUAGCCGGACUGAGAGGUCGAUCGGCCACACUGGAACUGAGACACGGUCCAGACUCCUACGGGAGGCAGCAGUGGGGAAUUUUGCGCAAUGGGCGAAAGCCUGACGCAGCGACGCCGCGUGGGGGAAGAAGGCCUUCGGGUUGUAAACCCCUUUCGUGAGGGAAAAAGUCCCGGGCAACCGGGAUGAUGGUACCUCAGGAAGAAGCCACGGCUAACUCUGUGCCAGCAGCCGCGGUAAGACAGAGGUGGCAAGCGUUGUUCGGAUUUACUGGGCUUAAAGGGCGUGUAGGCGUCCUGAUAAGUCAGAUGUGGAAGCCUUGGGCUUAACCCAAGAAUUGCAUUUGAAACUGUCAGGAUUGAGUCAUGCAUGGGAGGGCGGAAUUCCUGGUGUAGCGGUGAAAUGCGUAGAUAUCAGGAGGAAGGCCUGUGGUGAAGAUGGCCCUCUGGGCAAUGACUGACGCUGAGGCGCGAAAGCGUGGGUAGCAAACAGGAUUAGAUACCCUGGUAGUCC
rnacentral:rRNA from 1 species